CUUGUAGAAAUGAAAAGAAUUAUGGGAGAAUACCAUGAGAAGUUGUAUGCCAAAAAAUUAGAUAAUCUAGAUUAAAUGGAUUGAUUCCUAGAAUCUAUCUACACACUGCCAAAACUGUCCCCCCUCCCAAAAUAGAAAAUCUGAACAGACCUAUAACAAGAGAUUGAAUCAAUUAUUAAAAAGUUCAGGAUGAGGGGACUUUCAAGCGUCUGACCCCGGGAAUUCGAGCAGGCAUGAGCCUCUGGGUGGACAAAUACCGGCCCUGCUCCUUGGGACGGCUGGACUAUCACAAGGAGCAAGUGGCCCAGCUGCGCAACCUGACUCCAUCUAAAAAGAAAAUUGAAAUUAGCACUAUUGCAAGCAAUUAUCACCUUGAAGUUAAUCCCAGUGAUGCUGGAAAUAGUGACGGGGUAGUAAUUCAGGAGAUGUUGAAAACAGUGGCACAAUCACAGCAACUUGAAACAAACACUCAAAGAGAUUUUAAAGUGGUAUUAUUGACAAACUCACCAAAGAUGCUCAACAUGCCUUGCGUAGAACCAUGGAAAAGUAUAUGUCCACUUGCAGACUGAUCUUGUGUUGCAAUUCUACAUCUAAAGUGAUACCACCUAUUCGUAGUAGGUGCCUGGCAGUUCGUGUGCCUGCUCCCAGGAUUGAAGAUAUUUGUCAUGUGUUAUCUACUGUGUGCAAGAAGGAAGGUCUGAAUCUUCCUUCACAACUGGCUCAUCGACUUGCAGAGAAGUCGUGCAGGAAUCUCCGAAAAGCCCUACUUAUGUGUGAAGCCUGCAGAGUGCAACAAUAUCCUUUUACUGCAGAUCAAGAAAUCCCUGAAACAGAUUGGGAGGUGUAUCUCAGGGAGACGGCCAACGCUAUUGUCAGUCAGCAGACUCCACAAAGGCUCCUUGAAGUUCGUGGAAGACUUUAUGAGCUUCUAACUCAUUGUAUUCCUCCUGAAAUAAUAAUGAAGGGCCUUCUCUCAGAACUUUUACAUACUUGUGAUGGACAACUGAAAGGGGAAGUGGCCCAGAUGGCCGCUUACUAUGAACAUCGUCUACAGCUCGGUAGCAAAGCCAUUUAUCACUUGGAAGCAUUUGUGGCCAAAUUUGUGGCACUUUAUAAGAAGUUCAUGGAGGAUGGAUUGGAAGGCAUGAUGUUUUGACAUCUUGAGGUCUAUCCUUAAUUCUUCCUAAUAUUUCUCAGUAUCAGCAUUUACAUUCAGUUUAUAUUGGAAGAGCUGCAGGUAAAAUAAACUAACUUUACUUAAAAAAAAAAGUUCAGGAUGAGAUGGCUUUAUUGGUGAAUGCUACUAAAUAUUUAAAGAA